UGUUUAGUGUCUAUUACAAAGUUGAUGGA
rnacentral:piRNA from 1 species